GAGGAAGUCUGUCUCAGGUGCAGAUCUUGACUCUGCCACACCAGCACCGUGAACCAGCAGACGAGCUUCAUGCUCUGAAGUCACCUAAAGAGCUCUGCUCAAAUAGAAAGAUCGAACAGAGAUUGGUGGUGGCAAAUGUAAUAUAACAUAGGAUGAAGUUUUGGCUUUCAGCUGUCCUCUCCCCCAGGCCUUCCAGGCAAGGAAAAUAUUAUGUCUGGAGGAAAGGCAGCAGAGCAUGAGGAGGUGGCUGCAGUCAUCUGGGUCGUGGAUAACAGCUGGGAAUGCUUGUAUUGGCUGCAGGGCAGGAGGUGGACACGGGUGAGAGGAGAUGGGGUAACUCCAGGUUCCUCCUCGUGGGACCGGCCAUAGUGUUUCACGUUGGCAACCUGAAGGGAUGGAAACUGCUGCUUCCUGCUCAGAGAAAAUAGCAUCCUCAUUUCCUCUGAGGAUGAUGCAUGUACCUAAAACCCAGCAGGCUUUUAUGGACUUCGCAGGACCUGGACCAUCCUAGCAGGCAGAGCACAGUGAGCAGCUCUGGAAGAACAAGGACGGAUGCAUUGCAGGGCUCACGGGUCAGUCCUUGCACUUUAGGGAACCCAAAGCAUCUGAACUCACACAAGUGGCUUAAAAAAUCCUGUGAGAGACAUAGAGAUGUCCCCACAGCCCUUCUCCCCCCACCCAGAUGUAUCCUCGGGCUCUUAGGCUCCCCAUCCUCCUUCUGUU
ensembl:lncRNA